UUUUAUAUAAAAAAAUUAUGUAAAACUGAAAGCAAAAAAAAAAACUUAAGAUCACAAAGGUUAUUAUUAUUUAAUAAAAAUGAAUUUAAACACUCGCAUAUUGCGAAUUACAAAAAAAAUUACUACCCAAACAUGAAUCACUCUUUAGCUGAUAUAAGCUCCAAACUUCAAGGACUAUUAUCUAAUUAUUUUUAAAAAACCAAGAAGAUUAUUGCAAAAUUUCUUCAUCGCACUCUAGUUUGUAAGAUUGGAUGGAUGGAUGGUGGACAAGCAGCUUAAGGACCCGGUUUAGCUACUUCAGUGCAAGCCGCUGGAACCAACUUUCCGGUGAGAAC
rnacentral:lncRNA from 1 species